AAGGUGUUAGCUCAAUUGGAAGAGCGUUUACCCAGCAGGUAAGAGGUUGCCGGUUCGAGUCCAGGCACACCUU
rnacentral:tRNA from 1 species